UUAAUAGAAACCAAAAUAGAGGCAUCUUAUUGUUAAUAAGAAUAUUGGUUAAUUUAACCCUAUUAAA
rnacentral:tRNA from 1 species